GACGAACGCUGGCGGCGUGCUUAACACAUGCAAGUCGAGCGGUAAGGCCUCUUCGGGGGUACACGAGCGGCGAACGGGUGAGUAACACGUGGGUGACCUGCCCUCAGCUCUGGGAUAAGCCUGGGAAACUGGGUCUAAUACCGGAUAUGACCUUUCCUCGCAUGGGGUUUGGUGGAAAGUUUUUUCGGCUGGGGAUGGGCCCGCGGCCUAUCAGCUUGUUGGUGGGGUGAUGGCCUACCAAGGCGACGACGGGUAGCCGGCCUGAGAGGGCGACCGGCCACACGGGGACUGAGACACGGCCCAGACUCCUACGGGAGGCAGCAGUGGGGAAUAUUGCGCAAUGGGCGGAAGCCUGACGCAGCGACGCCGCGUGGGGGAUGACGGCCCUCGGGUUGUAAACCUCUUUCGACCCCGACGAAUUUGGACGGUAGGGGUAGAAGAAGCACCGGCCAACUACGUG
rnacentral:rRNA from 1 species